rnacentral:ncRNA from 2 species
UUUACAAUUCACGCUGUUGGUGCUCGCCUGACCGGAUCUGGUCGGUGGGUUAAACGGGAAACAGGAAGGUCAAGACCCGCCGGGUCGGCCCAACCUGUGCUGCCCCCGCAACGGUAAGCGGACGAGAGCCUCGGCGGCUCUCUGCCCCUGCGCACAUGAACCACUGGCUUCACGACGAGGCCGGGAAGGGUCGCAGCGGGUUCGUCCGUCAGCCCGGAUACCGGCCAACAGGGGGUCUGUCGA